rnacentral:tRNA from 1 species
UCCGGCAUGGUCUAGUGGCUAGGAUACUGGCUCUCACCCAGGAUGCCCGGGUUCGAUUCCCGGUGUCGGAA